AUCAUGGCUCAGGAUGAACGCUGGCGGCGUGCCUAACACAUGCAAGUCGAACGGACCUUGCUUUCGGGUGAGGUGAGUGGCGGACGGGUGCGUAACACGUAGGUGACCUGCCCUGGAGUGGGGAAUAAUUCCGCGAAAGCGGGACUAAUACCGCAUGCGGUCGCACAUUCGCUUGGGCGACCAAAGCCUUCGGGCGCUCUGGGAUGGGCCUGCGGCGGAUUAGCUGGUUGGUGGGGUAAUGGCCUACCAAGGCGAUGAUCCGUAGGGGGGUGAGAGCGUGACCCCCCACAUUGGCACUGAGACACGGGCCAAACUCCUACGGGAGGCAGCAGUGAGGAAUAUUGCACAAUGGGCGCAAGCCUGAUGCAGCAACGCCGCGUGAGGGUACGAAGGCCCUCGGGUCGUAAACCUAUUUUUUGGGGGUACGAGACAGGAACGGUACCUCAGGAAGUAAAUACGGGCCUAACUUACAGU
rnacentral:rRNA from 1 species